rnacentral:rRNA from 1 species
GACGAACGCUGGCGGCGUGCCUAAUACAUGCAAGUCGAGCGCUGAAGGUUGGUACUUGUACCAACUGGAUGAGCAGCGAACGGGUGAGUAACGCGUGGGUAAUCUGCCUUUGAGCGGGGGACAACAUUUGGAAACGAAUGCUAAUACCGCAUAAAAACUUUAAACACAAGUUUUAAGUUUGAAAGAUGCGAUUGCAUCACUCAAAGAUGAUCCCGCGUUGUAUUAGCUAGUUGGUGAGGUAAAGGCUCACCAAGGCGAUGAUACAUAGCCGACCUGAGAGGGUGGUCGGCCAAAUUGGGACUGAGACACGGCCCAAACUCCUACGGGAGGCAGCAGUAGGGAAUCUUCGGCAAUGGGCGGAAGGCUGAACGAGCAAAGCCGGGGGAGGGAAGAAGGGUUUCGGAUCGUAAAACUCUGUUGGUAGAGAAGGACGAAAGUGGGAGUGAAAAGCGCAUCAAGUGACGGUAACUACUCAGAAAGGGACGGCUAACUACGUG